rnacentral:rRNA from 1 species
UGUCCAAGUAUAAGCUAUUAUACGGUGAAACUGCGGAUGGCUCAUUAUAUCAGCAAGAAUCUAUUUGAUAGUAACCCUUUACUUGGAUAACUGUUGGAAUCCGAGAGCUAAUACAUGCAAACAAGUCCUGACUCUUUGCGGGGAAGGGAUGUAUUUAUUAGAUGUGAAACCGAUGCGGGGCAUUCCAAACUGCGUCGUUGCGGGCUUGCCCUGUGGCGGCGUGGGUCCCGAUACCUAGGUGAAUCAUGAUAACUUUGCGAAUCGCAUGGCCUUGCGCCGGCGAUGAUUCAUUCGAAUUUCUGCCCUAUCAACUUUUGACGGUAGUAUAUAGGACUACCGUGGUUUUAACGGGUGACGGAGCAUUAGGGUGCGAUGCCGGAGAGGGAGCCUGAGAAACGGCUACCACGUCUACGGGCGGCAGCAGGCGCGUAAAUUACCCAAUCCUGACACAGGGAGGUAGUGACAAUAAAUAACAAUACUGGUUCCUUUGGGACGAGUAAUUGGAAUGAGGACGAUUUAAACGACCUACCGAGUAGCAAUUAGAGGGCAAGUCUGGUGCCAGCAGCCGCGGUAAUUCCAGCUCUAAUAGCGUAUUUUAAAGUUGUUGCAGUUAAGUCGCUCGUAGUUGGAUUUUAGAGUCUGGGCAGGUCGGUCUGCGUCUUACGUAUGUACUGGCCGGCCCAGCUCUCCUUAUGAGAUACUCGCCUCUGCGCUUAACUGAGUGGAGGCAGCAGGGCGCGUGGCGAGAGCUGCGUGUCCGAGUUCUCAUUCAUUUACUUUGAAUAAAUUGGAGUGUUCAAAGCAGGCAGUUUACCGCCUUGUACAAUUCAGCAUGGGAUAAUGGAAUAGGCUGUUGGCUUAUUUCGUUGGUUUCUAAGCACAACAGAAUGAUUAAGAGGGAUAGUUGGGGGUUUUCGUAUUUAAUUGUCAGAGGUGAAAUUCUUGGAUUUGUUAAAGACGAACUACUGCGAAAGCAUUAACCAAGGAUGUUUUCAUUAAUCAAGAACGAAAGUAGGGGGAUCGAAGACGAUCAGAUACCGUCGUAGUCUCUACCGUAAACGAUGCCGACCAGCAAUUCGGAGACGUUAUUUGUAUGACUCCCCGAGCAGCUUGUGAGAAAUCAGAGUGUUUGGGUACCGGGGGGAGUAUGGUCGCAAGGCUGAAACUUAAAGGCAUUGACGGAAGGGCACCACCAGGAGUGGAGCCUGCGGCUUAAUUUGACUCAACUCGGGGAAGCUUACCAGGUCCAGACAAAGUAAGGAUUGACAGAUUGAGCGCUCUUUCUUGAUUCUUUGGGUGGUGGUGCAUGGCCGUUCUUAGUUGGUGGAGUGGUUUGUCUGGUUAAUUCCGAUAACGAACGAGACCUUAACCUGCUAAAUAGUCACUGGAAGCUGCUACUAAACACGACCGUGGAGUAGGGGACCGGCGUCAAAACCGAGAGCCGAGGACGCGGCGUGUGGUUGCUUUCUAGGCUGCACUUCUUAGAGGGACUUUCUGCGCACAAGCAGGAGGAAGUUUGAGGCAAAAACAGGUCUGUGAUGCCCUUAGAUGUCUUGGGCCGCACGCGCGCUACAAUGAUUCGUUCAACGAGUUUUUUCCUGGCUCGGAAGAGCUGGGUAACCUUUUGAAAACGAAUCGUGCUGAGGUUAGAUCAUUGUAAUUAUUGAUCUCUAAUCAGGAAUUCCUAGUAAGCGCGAGUUAUCAUCUCGCGUUGAUUAAGUCCCUGCCCUUUGUACACACCGCCCGUCGCUGCUACUGAUUGGAUGAUCCGGCCAGUUGCUCGGAGGUAGGCCGACGCUGUGGGGGCAACCCUGCAGUAAGGCCCGGCAAAGUUCAACCAGCCUUACCAUCUAGAAGAAGCAGAAGUCGUAACAAGGUACUC